GUCGCAUCRUUGUUGAUGACAUUCGUCCCAAGGUGAUGUGGUGUCAUGUCGCUUGUGUAUCUUCGUUUUUAGCUUUUUGAGCUUGAAACAUGUGGAUAAUCAGUUGGUGAUGGACAUCACGCCCUUGGUUGAUGAAAGUCGUCCAAUGAUGUGGUGGUUUGUUUUGUUCUCGCAUCGUUCGGUGCAUUCUGUGGUCAUUUGGGCUGUUAGCGACUUGCUUGGCGUUUGGGCUUGGUGGGUUGCUACUAGUUUGGGUGUCUUCGGGGAUGUCUUCCGUAAAGGUGCAUGAGUGGUGUUUGGUUUGUUACGGGUGGUUGGCUCUUUGCUUGCGCAACAACUUCCACCCGGCAUACCUCUUCAGUCUUGUGUCAAUGCUUGUAUUGCGUUGAUUGCAUGAUGGGUUUCUUGUGUUGCAUACCUAAUUAAUGGUAUCGUUUGAUGAAUUGGUUUCCUUUUUCAUCUUGCCUCGCCUAUGCGAUGUGAGAUGAACCUUGAAGCAGCCUUUGUGAUCCACACUUUUGAUGCAUACGCAUUGAUUUUGUGGCCCAUUAAGUGUUGCUUGGUCUCAUGGAUAUGGAACCUGGUGUGGGCAUGGAAUCUUAAUGGUUCCUUGUUUGCCCAAGUUUAGCCUUUCUAAAACGAUUGUCUAUCA
rnacentral:misc_RNA from 1 species